UAAACGCAGGCUACGGGAGCCAGCAGUGGCAACACGCUCGGGUCCCCUUCCACACUGUGGAAGCUUUGUUAUUUCACUCUUUGGGUCCACACUGCUUUUAUGAGCUGUAACACUCACCGCAAAAGUCUGCAGCUUCACUCCUGAAGCCAGGGAGACCACGAGCCCACCGGGAGGAACGAACAACUCCAGACGCGCCACCUUAAGAGCUGCAACACUCGCCGCGAGGGUCCGCGGCUUCAUUCUUGAAGUCAGUGAGACCAAGAACCCACCAAUUCCGGACACAGCACCACCAAAAGAAGACAUUGUUAUCGUGGGAGAUGACAGCUCCAUACAUGUUAUUGGCCCUGAAAACCUUCUACUUGGACAAGAUGUGGAGUGAUGGAGGCUGACAUGAUGUAACAGUCAGAAAAGAAGACUUGACAAUCAAAUGAAACAUAUGAAGAUGCUAGGUUGCUGGCUUUGAAGAUGGAAGAAAGGACCGCAAGGCAAGGCUGCAGGCAACCCCUAGAAACUGAAAAAUGAAAGGCAGCUGUUUGUCGACUUUCACCUCCAGAAGGAACGCAGCCCUCCCUGACACAGAGUAGAGGAUUUCUGACCUCUAGAACUGUAAAAUAAUAAAUUUGUUGGUUUAGACCACUAAAUUUGUACUAUUUUUCUAAGCAGUAAUUAGAGACUGGUAAAAAUUGUAGUACUUGAAAAUGUGAUGCUGCUAUAACAAAUAAAAAUUUGAAAUUGGCUUUAGGAUU
rnacentral:lncRNA from 1 species